rnacentral:rRNA from 1 species
GAUCAUGGCUCGGGACGAACGCUGGCGGCGUGCUUAACACAUGCAAGUCGAACGAGAAUCUACUGAAAGAGUUUUCGGACAAUGGAAGUAGAGGAAAGUGGCGGGCGGGUGAGUAACGCGUGAGGAACCUGCCUUGAAGAGGGGGACAACAGUUGGAACGACUGCUAAUACCGCAUGAAGCAUAGGGGUCGCAUGAUUCUUAUGCCAAAGAUUUAUCGCUUCAAGAUGGCCUCGCGU